CGCACGGGGCAUGCCUCAGUACGGCGAGUGAAGCGGCAAGAGCUCAAAUUUGAAAGCUGGCCCCUUCGGGGUCCGCGUUGUAAUUUGCAGAGGAUGCUUCGGGUGCAGCCCCCGUCUAAGUGCCCUGGAACGGGCCGUCAUAGAGGGUGAGAAUCCCGUCUGGGACGGGGUGUCUGCGUCCGUGUGAAGCUCCUUCGACGAGUCGAGUUGUUUGGGAAUGCAGCUCUAAAUGGGUGGUAAAUUUCAUCUAAAGCUAAAUACUGGCCGGAGACCGAUAGCGCACAAGUAGAGUGAUCGAAAGAUGAAAAGCACUUUGAAAAGAGAGUUAAACAGCACGUGAAAUUGUUGAAAGGGAAGCGUUUGCGACCAGACUCGCCCGCGGGGUUCAGCCGGCAUUCGUGCCGGUGUACUUCCCCGUGGGCGGGCCAGCGUCGGUUUGGGCGGCCGGUCAAAGGCCCUCGGAAUGUAUCACCUCUCGGGGUGUCUUAUAGCCGAGGGUGCAAUGCGGCCUGCCUGGACCGAGGAACGCGCUUCGGCUCGGACGCUGGCGUAAUGGUCGUAAAUGACCCGUCUUGAAAACCGG
rnacentral:rRNA from 1 species